rnacentral:lncRNA from 1 species
GUCAGGAGCUGACUCAGAAACAGAAUUUGGUCAGCAUACUUGGCACAGACCUGCCUGCCAAACCUGACUCAUAGUCACCAAACUCAGAAGAUUGGUGGAUAAAUCAGAUGCCCAACACAGCUAUUGGCAAUGGGGUGCAUUCCUUUCCCAGGGCAGGAAAGCUUGUGACCACCUCUGCACCGUCCUCUUUGAGGUUCCUGGGAAACUGAGUCUGUGAUGGGAGUGUUGUACGUGUGUCAUAGAAAGAAGAAGCAGAAGUCACAACCAACAUCUCUGCCCCGGGUGGAUCAAGCCGUGCCAAUGUCCACUUUAGGCCUCUUGACUCCCUGGUGACCACUCCUGCCUUUAACACAAUCUAUCAAACUGGUCACGAUAUGACAGGCCAGGGCAGAGCCUUUCUUCACAUCCUGAGACUGUACCUCUGACGUCCUGGGUGAACCAGGCUAUCCCAGCUCUCCCCAGGUGCCCCCGUAGCUGAGAAGGGAGGAGAAAGUGUUUGGGAGAUCAAGGAGGAUGGACUCACCAACAGACAAGGUUCUCAUUUUCCUAAGCGCUGCAGCUCUACAGUUCCUUAUGGAAAGCCCCUCUAAACUGAUUCCAGUGCCACUUAGAAAAUCAGUCCCUCUGGCCUUUCCCUUCUGCUUUCAGGAGGGUGAAGGCUAAUCAUCAAACUGAUUCAAAAGUUCUGAAUUCUCAGAGAAAGCCUGAACAGAGACCAGAAUGGGUGUUGCAUCCUGCCUCUCCUGAGCACCACAUUGGCCUGGCUGCUCAAGGCUGCCUGGAGACCACCGUGCACUGCCCUGAUCUGUCAUUCACCAGGACAGCCCUGCUCAACCUCGUGGGAGCAGCUCACCCACAGCCUCCUCACCGACCUCCCGGGCAGCUUGUCGGAGCCGUCUCUUUGCCUAACACAGAAGCUUUGGAAUGAAGCAGGGAGAGAAAGACAGCGUGGAUAGCAGAUCUGCACGUGAAACACAGAUCAAACACGGCCCACAGAAACAAUGGUAGGAAGCAUAACCAGAGUGAAUCGAUUCCUUGAUCCUGCUCUGCCAAAAAAUUAAAGAGGAGCACUCCUGGGGUUUUUAACCCAGAUAAGACUUCAGCCACAGCCGUAUUUCCCAUGUUCCUGGAUCUCUUGUUCUGGCUCUUAUUCUGCGGAUAAAAUGUGGAAUAGAGUAAGCAGUGUCGAGUUCUGCCGGUUCAUCUGGCUUUUUAAAAAAAAAUUAAAUGGCUCUAUCUCUUUGCCCUCAACACUUCUGCACACGCACAUGUGCACGCACACAGCCUUGUUUUACCUUUUCUCCAGAACUAAACUGGACAGACUUUGCCAUUUCUUUCAACAGGACAAGGAGAAGGUAGAAAGGGCCCUCUCAGGCAUCAGCCUCUUAAAAGGACAAAUUUCUUGAAGCAAAGAAAGUUCUAGUCCCCAGUCUGAGACCCAUUCUGUCUCUCCAUCCCCAAGUGAUGACACAACCCCUUCGUUCUCAAAGAUCUGUUUAAAUAUGUAGGUGGUCUUGCUUGAGUCAACUGGUUUUUAUGUCAGCAUUGACCUCAGUCCUGAGAUCCUAGAUUGCCCAGCUGGCAGAGCACUGGAGGGUAGAGCUCGCUGCAAGUGAGGCCAGCCCACCCCCAGCCUUCUGAUGGGCCACUGAGGCCACCCCGUUGGGCUGGUCAUCUGCAGCCGGUGUCCUCUCCUGACCUCUGCUCUAAUCUCAAGGGCACCCUUUAUUUAGACACCACAGUCCAGCCUGAGCCUCAAGUCCUCGAUUCAUUGGCUGGACAUGAGCCAGGGACAGCCACAGGCUGGCUCCAGAGGGCUCCCCAAAAGAGGCCACAGAGGCCCCAGGAGGCAGGCUCUGGCCGAGCUGGAACAGAGAACGGAGGUUUAAAUUUCCGAGGCCUCAGUUCGAAUUCCAGCUCUCUCACUGGCGAUGACCUUGAUCCGUGGGGUAACUUCCCUGAGCCUGGUGCCUGCAUCAAUCAAAUGGAAGAGGAGAAGACCACGUGAACGUGGAGCAGAGUGAGAUGCAAAGAUGCUGGCCUUGACGUUUGUAGUGAUUAGUGAGGCAGCCACAAGCCAAGGAAGGCCAGCAGCCACCAGAAGCCAGAAGAGGCAAGGAACAGAUUUUUCACUGGAUUCUCAUGAGAAAGUAUGGCCCAGUGAAACUGACUUCAGGCUUCUAGCUUCCAGAACCAUAAGAGAAUAUAUUCCUACUGUUUUAAGCCACCAAAUUGUGGUCAUUUGUUAUAGGCAGCCAUAGGAAGCUAAGACAGAAUUUACAAAGGGCCUCCGGGAGACCUCUGUGAAAUGGUACUAGAUAUUGACUUGUAUUAUCUUAAUGGGCCCUGACAACGAGCUUUUAAGGUAGUGGGCAAGGCAAGCCUUGUCAGUGUUUUACUGAUUAGGAAAUGGAGGCUCUGAGAAAUUAAGUGUCUUGUUCGAGGUCACAUGUUGUUUGGUGGCAGAGCUGGGACUGGAACAGAGGUGACCCAGAGCCUGGUGCUGGUCCCUUUCCACCACCCGCCAUGCCCUGUGCCCACCCUCCCUCCUCUGACCAAGUCUAAGCAAGUGGAAAGGAGGGCUUGGCCUCCAGUGGGAGCUUAGCAAGGCCUCUCAAGGGCCUGGAAGACAAGGGGACCCUUCUCUAGCCCCCUGCCUGGCCCUGGGUGUUUGCAUUUGGACAUGUGCUGUGGCAGAGGCAUCACGGGGGCACUGGAUGCUCCAUCUGGAGUUACGUCUCUUCUCCUAGAGGAAAGGGAAUCCAGGGACAUGAAUUCUCUCUCAGUGACUCACCUCUGAGCCCUGUCAGGUCUCCCCGGGCCUCAGAUUCCUCUGUGGUGACAUGGAAAUAAUAACAGGGCCGCCCCCUCCUUGAGGAGCUGUGGAAUUAGAGAAUGAGCCUGCACAGAAAUGCCCACGCCUCCAGAAUGGCAACAGUGCCCAGUCCAGGGCUUUCUCAGAUUCCUGAAGAUGGAGCUUGGGAAGAAAGAGAUUGCCUGCUCUCUUAACCCCAGAUGGGAAGGUAGCAGACAGCCCAGCCUGCUCAGCCAUGCUCUCACUGUGGAGGGGACAGUGACUCACCAGUCCUUCUUCACCAGCCUGGCAAGAAUAUCCCUCAACAUCAUCCAACUCCUGUUAUAUCACUUCCAUAGUUACUAAACCCUCCAGUGAACCCUUGCUGCAUCACAGAGGACCCUAAAACCUAGUGGCUUAAAACAACAGCCAUUUUAUUAUCUUUCAUGAUGAUGGGGGUCAGGAAUUAGGGCAGGGCUCAGUUGGGUGAUUCUUCAGCAACACAUGGCAUUGAAUGGGGUCACUUGAUGAUAUUCAUCUAGUAACUGCUCUAGUCUGGAGGAUCCAAGAUGGCCCCACUCCUGUGCCUGGUGCCUUGGCAAGGGAGGCUGGAGGGCUGGCUCAGCAGGGCUUCUCUCCCUUUCCAUGUAGCAUUGUGACCAUUCCACGGGGUCUCUCCAGCAGUGUGGUCCAGCUUCUCACAUGGUGACUUGGAGCUCCAAGGAACCAAGGCAGGAGCCUUUGAAAAGUCUAAGCCUGACACUGGCAUGGCAUCACUUCUGCCAUCCUCCAUUAGUCAAAGCAGCUUGGGCCCAGCCCAGACUCAGGGAAGGGGUAACUGACCCCACUUCUCCAUAGGAGAAGCCUCAAAGUUUCUGUGGUCCUCUUUAAAUGGCCAAGCAAUCUUUGGACCCAGGGCCCAGGCUCCUGGGUAGGUCUGUCUGCCCAUCAGGAAGUUCUGUGCCCAAGGUCAAUCCCAUUACUCACUCCAGACUGAACUUAUGGGCUGAAUUGUUCCCCUCAAAUUCAUAUGUUGAAGUCUCAGGACCUCAGAACGUGACCUUAUUUGGAGAUAGGGCCUUUACAAAGAUAAUCGAGUUAAAAUAAAGCUAUUAGGGUGGGCUUAAUCCAAUCUGACUGUUGUCCUCAUAAGAAGAGGGAAU